UACGAAGGGAGCUAGCGUUGUUCGGAAUCACUGGGCGUAAAGCGCACGUAGGCGGAUGUGUCAGUCAGGGGUGAAAUCCCGGAGCUCAACUUCGGAACUGCCUUUGAUACAGCACGUCUUGAGUCCGAUAGAGGUGGGUGGAAUUCCUAGUGUAGAGGUGAGAUUCGUAGAUAUUAGGAAGAACACCGGUGGCGAAGGCGGCCCACUGGAUCGGUACUGACGCUGAGGUGCGAAAGCGUGGGGAGCAAACAGG
rnacentral:rRNA from 1 species